rnacentral:rRNA from 1 species
GAUCAUGGCUCAGGAUGAACGCUAGCGGCAGGCCUAACACAUGCAAGUCGAGGGGCAGCACGGUGUAGCAAUACACUGGUGGCGACCGGCGCACGGGUGCGUAACGCGUAUGCAACCCUACCCAUAACAGGGGGAUAACACUGAGAAAUUGGUACUAAUACCCCAUAACAUCAGGGACCGGCAUCGGUUCUGGUUGAAAACUCCGGUGGUUAUGGAUGGGCAUGCGUUGUAUUAGCUGGG